CCCCGCCCCGCAGCGUUUGAGGCGCCGCAAGCCUUCACGCCCCUCGGGCCUUGCAGAUCCCUCUCCCAGUUUCCGCGGCGGUCCGGUGCGGUCAGUACCUGUCUAAAAUCAAUAUUGCCGAGGCCUCCGCAGCAGUCAGGCCCUGCCACCGAGCUGUUCGUUACCUCGGCUCCCGGGUUCCCAGAUCUCUUCAUCCGGGGGCCGCCUCAGGAGGCACCACGCGGGCCCCGCUGCAGCCACGCGCCCCCGGAACCGGACCUAUAGAGCCGGAGAUGGGAGUCUCGCUAUGAUGCCCAGGCUGGUCUCGAACUCCCGAGCUCAAGUGAUCUGACCUCCCAAAGUGCUGGAAUUACAGGCAUGAGCCACCGCGCCCUGUCUUCCUUUGUUUGUGUUGAUUACGAAUACAUUCACUUGCAAAAAAUAACAAAAAAAACCCCCAGAAAAUCCGAUCAACAGAGACGUAAACAAAUAGGUGUUUCGUUGUGUGUGUGUUUUUUUGUUUUUUUUUGUUUUUCAUGGAACACAAGCUCGAAGCAGGCAGUUGCAAGCAUGAGGGAACUUGACUUUGCCAUCCCUAUACUGACCUUUUUAUUCUGAUGCUUCGGCCUCAUAGGCACAAGAUGGCUGCCAUAGCUCUAAUCAUCACACUGGGGCUCGAGGCAAGCAAAGGUGAGAGAAAUGUCUAGGGCCAUGCUAACUGUAUCUGUCUCUUCAUCAGGGCAGCAAAAGCUUUUCCAGAAAUCCCCCCAGCAGACUUCCACUUUAAGAGUGAUUGGCCUGAAUUGGGUCAAAUGUCUAGUACAAGAGGCUAGGAAGUUAAAACAGUCAUGAUUGGCUUAGAACACUGAUUCACAAAUGAAUCUGUAGGGGUGGGUUGCCCCUCCACACCUGUGGGUGUUUCUCGUAAGGUGGAACGAGAGACUUAGGAAAGAAAAAGACACAGAGACAAAGUGUAGAGAAAGAAAUAAGGGGACCCGGGGAACCAGCGUUCAGCAUAUGGAGGAUCCCGCCAGCCUCUGAGUUCCCUUAGUAUUUAUUGAUCAUUCGUGGGUGUUUCUCCGAGAGGGGGAUGUGUCAGGGUCACAAAACAAUAGUGGGGAGAGGGUCAGCAGACAAACACG
rnacentral:lncRNA from 10 species